UAUUUUCUUCGAGGGAGGGACCUAAAGUCCCGACCGGCGGUAACAGUCCGCAAUCCCUGUACCGGUUUCGUUGAGACGGCACAGGGGGGAUUCGGUGGGAUUCCGAAACCGACAGUGAAAGUCUGGAUGGGAGAAGAAAAUA
rnacentral:ncRNA from 2 species